rnacentral:rRNA from 2 species
GAAAGUAAGCAAGGGCAGACGGUGGAUGCCUUGGCUCUCGGAGGCGACGAAGGACGUGAUAAGCUGCGAAAAGCCCGGGGGAGGCGCAAAUAGCCGUUGAUCCCGGGAUAUCCGAAUGGGGCAACCCGGCAGGCUGAAGGCCUGUCAUCCCGAAAGGGAGGCGAACGUGGGGAACUGAAACAUCUAAGUACCCAUAGGAGGAGAAAAUAAACAAUGAUUCCGUAAGUAGUGGCGAGCGAACACGGAAGAGCCCAAACCCAUGUCGUCUAGGCGACACGGGGGUUGUAGGACCACGACGUGGCAAGAAGGAAGGGAAAUGGAACGCCUUGGAAAAGUCGGCCAUAGACGGUGAAAGCCCGGUACAUGACUCCCUUACGAAGCCUAGUGGUAUCCUGAGUAGCGCGGGGCACGAGAAAUCUUGCGUGAAGCAGCGGGGCCCAUCCCGUAAGGCUAAAUACUCCCGAGAGACCGAUAGCGAACCAGUACCGUGAGGGAAAGGUGAAAAGAACCCCGAGCAGGGGAGUGAAAUAGACCCUGAACCCGUCUGCCUACAAGCGGUCGGAGCGUCGUAAUGACGUGACGGCGUGCCUUUUGCAUAAUGAACCUACGAGUUACCUUCCCCGGCAAGGUUAAGUUCUUGAGGAACGGAGCCGAAGCGAAAGCGAGUCUGAACAGGGCGCCAAGUCGGGGGGGGUAGACGCGAAACCGAGUGAUCUACCCUUGGCCAGGUUGAAGGUUGGGUAACACCAACUGGAGGACCGGAUGGGUAAGCGUUGAAAAGCUUUCCAAUGAGCUGAGGGUAGGGGUGAAAGGCUAAUCAAACUCGGAGAUAGCUCGUACUCCCCGAAAUGCAUUUAGGUGCAGCCUCUUUAUAGUAUAUCGUGAGGUAGAGCGACUGAUUGGAUGCGAGGGCUUCACCGCCUAUCAAGUCCAGAUAAACUCCGAAUGCGCGAUAUAUAUUUACAGGGAGUGAGGGCGCGGGUGCUAAGGUCCGUGUCCGAGAGGAGAAGAAUCCAGACCACCGGCUAAGGCCCCCAAAUGAUCGUUAAGUUGAACUAACGAGGUCGGAUCGCAGAGACAGCUAGGAUGUUGGCUUGGAAGCAGCCAUUCAUUUAAAGAGUGCGUAACAGCUCACUAGUCGAGCGAUCUGGCGUGGAUAAUAAUCGGGCAUAAACGAUCUGCCGAAGCCGUGGAUGUCGCAAGACAUGGUAGGGGAGCAUUCCAUGCCGCGUCGAAGAUGAGGGAUGACCCUUGUUGGAGCGCAUGGAAAAGCAAAUGUAGGUAUGAGUAACGAUAAGGGGGGCGAGAAACCCCCCCGCCGAAAGACCAAGGUUUCCUGAUCAACGCUAAUCGGAUCAGGGUGAGUCGGGACCUAAGGCAAAGCCGAACGGCGCCGCCGAUGGAAGAAUGGGUUAAUAUUCCCAUACUGCCUCAUGGAGUGACGUGGAGACGGAGAAGUGACAGUCCUGCCGGCUGACGGAAUAGCCGGUUGAAGGGUGUAGAUAUUGAUUCCCGUAGGCAAAUCCGCGGGGAGAGUCGAACCUGAGAGUAUACGGAGCGCUUGCGCAACGUAAUAUGGACGUAACCAUGCUCCCGAGAAAAUCCGCUAAACUUAUCCAUGCGGCACCCGUACCGUAAACGGACACACGUGGUCGGGUUGAGAAUACUGAGGCGCUCGAGUGAUUCACGGUUAAGGAACUAGGCAAAUUGACCCUGUAACUUCGGGAUAAAGGGUCCUCGUCGUAAGGCGAGGCGCAGAGAAUAGGUCCAGGCAACUGUUUAACAAAAACACAUGGCUGUGCUAAAUGGAAACAUGAUGUAUACAGCCUGACACCUGCCCGGUGCUGGAAGGUUAAGAGGAGAUGUCAUCGCAAGAGAAGCGUUGAAUUGAAGCCCCAGUAAACGGCGGCCGUAACUAUAACGGUCCUAAGGUAGCGAAAUUCCUUGUC